UUUUAGUUUUUAAGAACAAAAUUUCUGAACAAAUUUCUGUACUUUUAUGUGGAAUUCCUCAUCUGUUAACACUUGAAAUGGAUGCUGCGUGGAACCUCUUCUCCGACAAAAAUAAAAAAAAAAAAAAAAACACCAAAUCCCUACGAAGAGCCUACAGAUUUUUGGGAAAUUCGAUAAAACAAAUAUAAAUUUACCACAAAUGCUCAUGUUAAUGAUUUUUCUAAUUUUAAAAAAUAUUUUCACUUUUUAGGA